rnacentral:rRNA from 1 species
GUUAAGCGACUAAGCGUACACGGUGGAUGCCCUGGCAGUCAGAGGCGAUGAAGGACGUGCUAAUCUGCGAUAAGCGUCGGUAAGGUGAUAUGAACCGUUAUAACCGGCGAUUUCCGAAUGGGGAAACCCAGUGUGAUUCGUCACACUAUCAUUAACUGAAUCCAUAGGUUAAUGAGGCGAACCGGGGGAACUGAAACAUCUAAGUACCCCGAGGAAAAGAAAUCAACCGAGAUUCCCCCAGUAGCGGCGAGCGAACGGGGAGCAGCCCAGAGCCUGAAUCAGUGUGUGUGUUAGUGGAAGCGUCUGGAAAGGCGUGCGAUACAGGGUGACAGCCCCGUACACAAAAAUGCACAUACUGUGAGCUCGAUGAGUAGGGCGGGACACGUGGUAUCCUGUCUGAAUAUGGGGGGACCAUCCUCCAAGGCUAAAUACUCCUGACUGACCGAUAGUGAACCAGUACCGUGAGGGAAAGGCGAAAAGAACCCCGGCGAGGGGAGUGAAAAAGAACCUGAAACCGUGUACGUACAAGCAGUGGGAGCGCGCUUAGGCGUGUGACUGCGUACCUUUUGUAUAAUGGGUCAGCGACUUAUAUUCUGUAGCAAGGUUAACCGAAUAGGGGAGCCGAAGGGAAACCGAGUCUUAACUGGGCGUUAAGUUGCAGGGUAUAGACCCGAAACCCGGUGAUCUAGCCAUGGGCAGGUUGAAGGUUGGGUAACACUAACUGGAGGACCGAACCGACUAAUGUUGAAAAAUUAGCGGAUGACUUGUGGCUGGGGGUGAAAGGCCAAUCAAACCGGGAGAUAGCUGGUUCUCCCCGAAAGCUAUUUAGGUAGCGCCUCGUGAAUUCAUCUCCGGGGGUAGAGCACUGUUUCGGCAAGGGGGUCAUCCCGACUUACCAACCCGAUGCAAACUGCGAAUAC